GACACAACCAGGAACAAUACCUUGCAUCCUUCAAUCCAGUCAAGUUGACACUCAAUCUUAACCAUCACAACUCUGUUUUCAAGUUGACUUAUAACUUGACAUCCACCACCACCACCAUUUUUUUUACAGAAAAAAUAUGAAGUAGUAUGGAAUUAUGAUAUAUACACAUUAAAAAGAUAAAAAUUUUAAAAAACAGAGAUCAGAAACCACAUGGAAGACUUAGGAGAGUAGCAACAAUUAAAAUUAAAAAUUUGAGCUUAUGGAAGUUCAAAGAAGAAAAUUCAACUCCCAACCAUUGGAGAUGUUGAUUUAGUACAUCUGGAGUGGAACCGGGUAAUAUAUUCUUUUUUUAAGCCUGUUAUCUAAUUCUGGUUAGAGAUCGACUGUCUCAGACUGUCUCUCCCAGCCCUUGGUCAUCUCCUCCAUGAUUUUGUCAGGGGCUAAACGUUACCCAAUUUAAGGUAAGCUUAAGGGUAUUCCUGUUACAGAUAGAAGAAAAAAGUUCAUGGGCAGCAGUUCCCAGAAGGUGGGUAUGAAAUGCCUAGCUCCCUUCCUAAUGGAGAAAAGCAAAUCUCACCAUUCAUUAUUCACAGGGACUGCUUUGUAGUUCCAUAAAGCAAAGUUGUUUUAUCCUGCCUAACUUGGGAGGCAUUCUCUUUGGUUCACUCUAAUGGAAAAUGGAAGAGAAAAUGGUUUAUCGACUAUUCUUGCUGAGAGAAGCCUCUAAGUGACCCAAAACAAAAAUCAACUAACCAAUCCCAAGGCUUCCUACACAUUGACUGGAAAUCUACCCCCACAAGUUGACGUGGGAGGGAAACACCCAAGUUUCCAGAAAAUCCCAUUUAUCCAUAAGACCCUUCUCCUGGUUAUUUCAGCCUCCCUAGGGAUAGACACUAAGGUGUUACAGCUCUGGUCCAUUGCACAAAGAGUUUUCCAGGGCCUGGAAGAUGUUCAUGGUGGCAUCAACUGGCCACCUCAGUCAUAAAUGGUCCUGGAAAUCCGACUUGGAUCAGUACUGCCUUCUGAUCAAAACUCAGAUGAUCAGAUAUCCAAGGUCCCUAAUAACUACUGGAUUCUCAGAUUCCAGUGUGUGAGCAUGAGACGAUGAAGGCAAAUGGGUAGAACCUGGCACACACACAUCCCAAGCACUGUCACGAAAGGAGGAUUCACACAUACCAACAUAAAGUCUCAGACUAAAGCCAAGAAAUAGCACCUGAUGUUCUUUUCAACUAAGACCCCUGCUUAAUUCCAAACAUAUUCUUCAGGCUGGAUGUCGGGCAGCUGAAGGGUGAUCAGUCUUCUGCUGGAAUUAAAGCCUGCUGUGAUGUUAAUGAAGAACCACCAGUGGGUUUGCUGGAAGGGGGAAAUUUGGAGACAGACACAUACAUGGGAAGAUGCCGUGUGAAGUCUUGAGUUCUGCUGCCACAAGCCUAGGAACCAUUAGAAGCCAGGAGAGAGGCCUAGAACAGCUCCUUCCCCAGCACCUUCCGAGGGAGCAAGGCUCUACCAACAUACUGAUUUUGAACUUCUCGCCUCCAGAACUGCGAGACAAUAUAUUUCUGUUGUUUUAAGUCA